UACAGAGGGGGCAAGCGUUAUUCGGAAUUAUUGGGCGUAAAAGACGCGUAGGCGGCUUUGCAAGUGGCGGGUGAAAUCCCUCGGCUUAACCGAGGAACUGCCUGUCAAACUGCAUGACUUGAGACCAGGAGAGGUGAGUGGAAUUCCCAGUGUAGCGGUGAAAUGCGUAGAUAUUGGGAGGAACACCAGUGGCGAAGGCGGCUCACUGGACUGGUACUGACGCUGAUGCGCGAAAGCGUGGGGAGCAAACAGG
rnacentral:rRNA from 1 species